rnacentral:tRNA from 1 species
GACUCUGUGGUAUAGUGGUAGCGCGUCCGUCUAGCAAACGGAAGUCAUAGGUUCGAAUCCGGCGUCC